GCCUGGGUGGCUCAGUUGGUUGAGCAUCCGACUUCAGCUCAGGUCAUGAUCCCGUUGUUCGUGGGUUCGAGCCCCGUGUCGGGCU
rnacentral:tRNA from 1 species